rnacentral:rRNA from 1 species
AUUGAACGCUGGCGGCAGGCUUAACACAUGCAAGUCGAACGAGUGGCGGACGGGUAAGUAAUGCUUGGGCAUCUGGCUUAUGGAGGGGGAUAACUACGGGAAACUGUAGCUAAUACCGCUUACCAUGAGAUGAGCCCACGUGGGAGUAGGUAGUUGCUGAGGGAAAGGCUCACCAAGCCGGCGAUCUCUAGCUGGUCUGAGAGGAUGACCAGCCACACUGGGACUGAGACACGGCCCAGACUCCUACGGGAGGCAGCAGUGGGGAAUAUUGGGCAAUGGGGGCAACCUGACGGAGCCAGGCCGCGUGAAUGAAGAAGGCCUUCGGGUUGUAAAGGUCUUUCGGUAGCAAGGCGUUAACUACAGAAGAAGCACCGGCUAACUCCGUGCCAGCAGCCGCGGUAAUUC